AAAAAAAAAAAAAAAAGAAAGAUAAGAGAAGGGAACAGGUUUUAAGUUCUUGCAGUGUGCACAUAAAUCAAAAAUAAGACCAUAACUCCAAGAAGCUUUUAAUUUAAUUAAGCAUAGAAAUAUUGCAUGUAACAAGGAACACAAGGACGCAUGUUAACAACCAUACUAUGGAAAAGCUUUUUCAUAUAUUCGACUUUGCAGUCAUAGACUGAGAAUGUUUAUUAACAGUCCCUUUACUCUUUACAUGCAAAAUACAGGAAAAAGAGACAAUAUAAUUGAAUCAUCUAGUCAUUCAUUCACCAGGUAGGAUGGAUAUUAUUUACAUGGGAACAGACUAAAGAAAGAUCUGAUCUUAUUUGGGAAAGUCAGCAUAGCAUUAUAGGGUAACCAGAAAAGCAAUACAGGAAAUCAGAAGUCAAGUGAGUAGAAAAUGCAGCAUGUACUAUGCUGAGUCCUCUAUACAACCCAAGAAAUAAAAAUAAAUAAAUAAAGGAUAAAGGUACAUCUUUUGGGAAGGAUGUUUAACUGCAGUUUGGAAAUUCUUGAAGAGAAAUUCACAUGAUAAAACUGCAGGUAUGGUACAUUCACAAAGAAUCUGAGGCAUCUGAAAUGCAUCAGACCCACAGACCUGACCCCAUAUGAGUGUGCCCCACAGGGCAGACCCAUGGACACAGCAAGGCCUUACGUCACACAGACAGCUGGGAAAUAAGCUGCCAUUAUUUUUACAUCAUUCAAGGAAUUCACACUUUGGCUUUAUUCCACAGUGUUAAGCAAUGCAGUACUUCUACUCCAGCUCAUGGUCCAGACAGUCCAAAUCAAAGACCUCGAAUAUCCAGCAGCUAGGCUUCCUAAACCAUGUCUAAAGAAAUUUGAGAUACCUAAAGCAAGCUCAUCUGUAGAAUAAAUUUGCUAUCUAGCAGUAGCAAUGCCUCAUCUCAGCUGCUGAAGAGUGAUGAAAUGUAAGGGGUAACUCUGACAAAAGCCUGAAUCAGUGCAGGAAGCAUAAGGAUGCUCUGAAAGGUUCUUGAUAAACGAAAAACACUUUCAACUCCAUGGCAUAUGUAUCAGCAGAUUGCAAAUUUGUGUGUUGGAGGGGCUCCCAAAACAAUCUUGCAAAAGCUGCUGUACACCAAUGAAAGGCCAACAGUGGCUGGUAUUUGAAUCUAGCCAGCCCACUAAAGUGUGGGCUUUUUAUGCCUUUCUUAUUUCUUCAAAGUGACUUGGGAAAGAAAGAAAGAACACAUCUCUCUGUAUCAACAGAAUAAGGAGCAAUACUCUCAAUUCCAGCCUGUUAAUUUCCACAAGCUACCAGAAGCCGCAAGGAACAAAGAGAGAAAAAAAUGCAGAGGAACUUUAUCCUUCUACCAGCAUUUUUGCAAUGCAAUGGCACCCUUGAGACUUUCAUAUUGUUGCUGAAAGGGAUUUUAAGCACUGCACUGCAGUGCCAGUUUGCUGGGAAAUUGCCUUAUAACAUCCAGAUCAGUUGAAGUUUGUCCUCCUGUCCCUUAGCUUGUGACUUAAGUGGCAGCUGAAAGAUGCCACUUGCACCAGUUUCUUGCUAACUUUAAGAAACAGCCUAAAACAACCUACAAAAAAAUAGCACCAAUCCUUCCUGGAAUGGAGUAAAGGGACUGCAGUACAUAGUGAAAUUGUAAAAUUGAUGUGUUUAUUAAUCCAAAAAAUUGAAAAUUGACUCUUUCAAAACUACACCAAUGAUUUAUCACUUUUGUUUAAAUCAGAUGGUUGCAAUAAUGAAAUAAUAUUGCAUUUUCCCAACCAAACAGUCAAAUCUGUGUUGUGAUAGCAGACUCAUUGGUGGUAAAAGCAAGCAGUCCAAGAGGGAUGUUGACUCUUGCCCAAAUUACAGCUUUGAUAAGUUGGACUACCAGAGUGCAAUAAACACUUCCAGUUAAUUUUCCCAUGGACACCAAGCAGCAGCCAAAAGCUUUUGAUAUCAAAUGGGUGUAGUAGGCAUACUGCUUGGCCAUCACCUUCUCAGUGUACUCUUGGGCCAGCUGUUUGGGAGCAGAGACAUUUGGUACAAAAUAAAAGCUUUUGAACGGAUAACCACUAUCUGCACUAAGUUCAGUCCCAGCUGUACCAGGAACAAAAGUGGGAAGUGGAGUUUCCCAGGCUGGGUCUUAGAAGGGACAGGCACUGCGGAGGAAGCGGGAGAGGUCUGGAGAGGAGGAAGGAGUCAGGAAGGAGCAGAGCUGGACUAGCUCCAAAGGAACUCAAGCCCAAAGGUAAGAAGCAGUGAGGAUACUGAGAGGAGGAGAAAGCAAAAUCACUGAGAAAUGCCAUAAAACAUUUGGAACUGUUCACUAAAAAUAAUUAAUUUCUUAAAAUUACUUGCCUUGAUCUCUCAGUAAAAGAAGUCACUGACUUAUCUGCACAGGGUAGCAUAAGACAAUGGACAACCAGAUAAACAUGUAAAUUGGCUGAGGCUUUAAAAUGCUUUCCUCUAAUUAUCUGUCUCACUGGAUAAAUGCUACAUAGCUAAAGAACAGCAAAAUGGAGAAGCUGGAGCCUUCACACACAACUUGUUUAAAAGCUGAAUAACUUCAGUAAGAGCUGGAAUGGCACCUAGAUUCUGGUCACAAUGUAGGUUAAAGGCUGAGCUUACAUCCAGACACAGGACUAGGCAUGAGACUUGACACCUGGAGGACUCAUUCCAGGGGGACCAGAAAUGGGACAGAGAUACUAUUAAUUCCAUAACUGUGUCACCAGUCUUAAGCAAGGACUCAUGGCCAGAAACUUCAUAGGACUAUAAAAGCCUGAUUCUUGUUGCUACUCUUCUGUCUAUAUAAUAUAUAUAUGUAUGACUACCUUCAUCAGUUAAAAAAAAAAAAACAAAACACCAACCUUUU